UACGUAGGGGCCGAGCGUUGUCCGGAGUUACUGGGCGUAAAGCGCGCGCAGGCGGCUCGUCAAGCCUGACGUGAAAGCCCCCGGCUCAACCGGGGAGGGUCGUCGGGGACUGGCGAGCUUGAGGUCGGUAGGGGUUGGUGGAAUUCCCGGUGUAGCGGUGGAAUGCGUAGAGAUCGGGAAGAACACCCGUGGCGAAGGCGGCCAGCUGGGCCGGUAUUGACGCUGAUGCGCGAAAGCCAGGGGAGCAAACGGG
rnacentral:rRNA from 1 species